GGAAUAUUGCACAAUGGAGGAAACUCUGAUGCAGCAACGCCGCGUGAAGGAUGACGGCCUUCGGGUUGUAAACUUCUUUGGCAGGGGACGAAGACAGUGACGGUACCCUGAGAACAAGCCACGGCUAACUACGUGCCAGCAGCCGCGGUAAUACGUAGGUGGCAAGCGUUGUCCGGAUUUACUGGGUGUAAAGGGCGUGUAGGCGGGUCCGCAAGUCAGAUGUGAAAUCCCGAGGCUUAACUUCGGAACUGCAUCUGAAACUGCGGAUCUUGAGUACUGGAGAGGAAAGUGGAAUUCCUAGUGUAGCGGUGAAAUGCGUAGAGAUUAGGAGGAACACCAGUGGCGAAGGCGGCUUUCUGGACAGUAACUGACGCUGAGGCGCGAAAGCGUGGGGAGCAAACA
rnacentral:rRNA from 1 species